AUUGAACGCUGGCGGCAGGCCUAACACAUGCAAGUCGAGCGGUAGAGAGGUGCUUGCAUCUCUUGAGAGCGGCGGACGGGUGAGUAAUGCCUAGGAAUCUGCCUAGUGGUGGGGGAUAACGUUCGGAAACGGACGCUAAUACCGCAUACGUCCUACGGGAGAAAGCGGGGGAUCUUCGGACCUCGCGCCAUUAGAUGAGCCUAGGUCGGAUUAGCUAGUUGGUGAGGUAAUGGCUCACCAAGGCGACGAUCCGUAACUGGUCUGAGAGGAUGAUCAGUCACACUGGAACUGAGACACGGUCCAGACUCCUACGGGAGGCAGCAGUGGGGAAUAUUGGACAAUGGGCGAAAGCCUGAUCCAGCCAUGCCGCGUGUGUGAAGAAGGUCUUCGGAUUGUAAAGCACUUUAAGUUGGGAGGAAGGGUAGUAACCUAAUACGUUGCUACUUUGGCGUUACGACAGAAUAAGCACCGGCUAACUUCGUGCCAGCA
rnacentral:rRNA from 1 species